rnacentral:rRNA from 1 species
UACGUAGGGUGCGAGCGUUAAUCGGAAUUACUGGGCGUAAAGCGUGCGCAGGCGGUUUGUUAAGACAGAUGUGAAAUCCCCGGGCUUAACCUGGGAACUGCGUUUGUAACUGGCAAGCUAGAGUGUGGCAGAGGGGGGUGGAAUUCCAAGUGUAGCAGUGAAAUGCGUAGAUAUUUGGAGGAACACCAAUGGCGAAGGCAGCCCCCUGGGUUAACACUGACGCUCAUGCACGAAAGCGUGGGGAGCAAACAGG